rnacentral:antisense_RNA from 1 species
CUUCAACGAGCCGAUCCAGAGCGGGCGUUGCGCGUCGCGGCCCUGGCCGUAGACGGCGGACAGCGCUCGCGCCUC